rnacentral:rRNA from 1 species
CCUACGGGUGGCAGCAGUGGGGAAUAUUGCACAAUGGGGGAAACCCUGAUGCAGCGACGCCGCGUGAGUGAAGAAGGAUUUCGGUACGUAAAGCUCUAUCAGCAGGGAAGAAAAUGACGGUACCUGACUAAGAAGCCCCGGCGAACUACGUGCCAGCAGCCGCGGUAAUACGUAGGGGGCAAGCGUUAUCCGGAUUUACUGGGAGUAAAGGGAGCGUAGACGGCAGCGCAAGUCUGAAGUGAAAUCCCAUGGCUUAACCAUGGAACUGCUUUGGAAACUGUGCAGCUGGAGUGCAGGAGAGGUAAGCGGCCUUCCUAGUGUAGCGGUGAACUGCGUAGAUUUUAGGCGGCACCCCAGUGGCGCAGGCGGCUUACUGGACUGUACCUGCCGUUGAGGCUCG